rnacentral:rRNA from 1 species
UCCGUAGGGGGCAAGCGUUGUCCGGAAUCAUUGGGCGUAAAGAGCGUGUAGGCGGCCAGAUAAGUCCGCUGUGAAAUCUCGAGGCUCAACUUCGAGCUGUCGGUGGAAACUGUCUGGCUAGAGUCCGGAAGAGGAGAAUGGAAUUCCUGGUGUAGCGGUGAAAUGCGCAGAUAUCAGGAAGAACACCCGUGGCGAAGGCGGUUCUCUGGGACGGUACUGACGCUGAGACGCGAAAGCGUGGGGAGCGAACAGG